GGAGAGGUGGCUGAGUGGUCGAAAGCACCUGCCUCGAAAGCAGGAAAGCGGAUUUUCUCCGCUUCGCGGGUUCAAAUCCCGCCCUCUCCGCCA
rnacentral:tRNA from 1 species